GACGAACCGUGCGAACGUUGUUCGGAAUCACUGGGCUUAAAGGGCGCGUAGGCGGGCCUCCAAGUCCGGGGUGAAAGCCUCCAGCCUAACUGGAGAAGCGCCUCGGAGACUGGGGGCCUCGAGGGAGGUAGGGGCAAGCGGAACUAUGGGUGGAGCGGUGAAAUGCAUUGAUAUCCAUAGGAACUCCGGUGGCGAAGGCGGCUUGCUAGACCUCUUCUGACGCUGAGGCGCGAAAGCCAGGGGAGCAAACGGG
rnacentral:rRNA from 1 species